CCCUUAGAUGUCCUGGGCCGCACGCGUGCUACACUGAUGCAUACAGCGAGUACUCCCAGCUCCGAGAGGCUGCUGGUAAUCAGCAAUAUGCAUCGUGAUGGGGAUAGAUCUUUGGAAUUAUAGAUCUUGAACGAGGAAUUCCUGGUAAUCGCAGGUCAUCACCCUGCGUUGACUAAGUCCCUGCCCUUUGUACACACCGCCCGUCGCUCCUACCGAUUUCGAGUGAUCCGGUGAAUCAUUCGGACCGCGGCCCCUAGGCAUGCGGAAAGUCUAGUAAACCAUAUCACUUAGAGGAAGGAGAAGUCGUAACA
rnacentral:rRNA from 1 species